GAUGAACGCUGGCGGCGUGCCUAAUACAUGCAAGUCGAGCGAACGGACGAGAAGCUUGCUUCUCUGAUGUUAGCGGCGGACGGGUGAGUAACACGUGGAUAACCUACCUAUAAGACUGGGAUAACUUCGGGAAACCGGAUCUAAUACCGGAUAAUAUUUUGAACCGCAUGGUUCAACAGUGAAAGACGGUCUUGCUGUCACUUAUAGAUGGAUCCGCGCUGCAUUAGCUAGUUGGUAAGGUAACGGCUUACCAAGGCAACGAUGCAUAGCCGACCUGAGAGGGUGAUCAGCCACACUGGAACUGAGACACGGUCCAGACUCCUACGGGAGGCAGCAGUAGGGAAUCUUCCGCAAUGGGCGAAAGCCUGACGGAGCAACGCCGCGUGAGUGAUGAAGGUCUUCGGAUCGUAAAACUCUGUUAUUAGGGAAGAACAGAUGUGUAAGUAACUGUGCACAUCUUGACGGUACCAAAUCAGAAAGCCACGGCUAACUACGUG
rnacentral:rRNA from 1 species